rnacentral:rRNA from 1 species
GAAUCCCGUCUUUGGCACGGAAACCCCAGGGCUUUUGUGAUGCGCUCUCGAAGAGUCGAGUUGUUUGGGAAUGCAGCUCAAAAUGGGUGGUGAACUCCAUCUAAAGCUAAAUAUUGGCGAGAGACCGAUAGCGAACAAGUACCGUGAGGGAAAGAUGAAAAGCACUUUGGAAAGAGAGUGAAACAGUACGUGAAAUUGUUGAAAGGGAAACGCUUGAAGUCAGUCGCGUCGACCGAGACUCAGCCUUGCCCUUGGCUUGGUGUACUUCUCGGCUGACGGGUCAGCAUCAAUUUUGCCCCUUGGAUAAUGGCGAGGGAAAUGUGACACCUUUACGGUGUGUUAUAGUCUCUUGUCGCAUGCAAGGGUUGGGAUUGAGGAACUCAGCACGCACCUUUGGGUGUCGGGGCUUUGCCCACGAUACGUGCUUAGGAUGUUGGCGUAAUGGCUUUAAACGACCCGUCUUGAAACACGGACCAAGGAGUCUAACAUGCCUGCGAGUGUUCGGGUGGAAAACUCGUGCGCGCAAUGAAAGUGAAAGUUGGGACCUCUGUCGUGGAGGGCACCGACGCCCGGACCAGACCUUCUGUGACGGCUCUGCGGUAAAGCAUGUAUGUUAGGACCCGAAAGAUGGUGAACUAUGCCUGAAUAGGGUGAAGCCAGAGGAGACUCUGGUGGAGGCUCGUAGCGAUUCUGACGUGCAAAUCGAUCGUCAAAUUUGGGUAUAGGGGCGAAAGACUAAUCGAACCAUCUAGUAGCUGGUUCCUGCC